GCCACAGUGGCCUAGUGGUUAGCACGCUCGCCUCGCACUCCUGGGGUCAGGGGUUCAAUUCCCCCCUGCACCU